GAUGAACGCUGGCGGCGUGCUUAACACAUGCAAGUCGAACGGAAAGGCCCAAGCUUGCUUGGGUACUCGAGUGGCGAACGGGUGAGUAACACGUGGGUGAUCUGCCCUGCACUUCGGGAUAAGCCUGGGAAACUGGGUCUAAUACCGGAUAGGACCACAUUUUGGAUGGUGUGGUGGAAAGUUUUUCGGUGUGGGAUGAGCUCGCGGCCUAUCAGCUUGUUGGUGGGGUAAUGGCCUACCAAGGCGUCGACGGGUAGCCGGCCUGAGAGGGUGUACGGCCCCAUUGGGACUGAGAUACGGCCCAGACUCCUACGGGAGGCAGCAGUGGGGAAUAUUGCACAAUGGGCGCAAGCCUGAUGCAGCGACGCCGCGUGGGGGAUGACGGCCUUCGGGUUGUAAACUCCUUUCGCUAGGGACGAAGCGUUAUGUGACGGUACCUGGAGAAGAAGCACCGGCUAACUACGUG
rnacentral:rRNA from 1 species